UGAUCAAAAUGUAUAGUGUAUUUAUAUUGCUUUUUUUACAUUUCGCUAGCAAUACGUGCUCUACUUUGCGAUGAAAUGUUCCUUAAAAUUAAUGAGACCUUAAUGGAUUUUAUUUAAGUGACAAACAUUCGUGAGAACUAAUGUGGGUGAAUUGAAACCGAGUUCUGGAAUGCUGCGCCAAGAGAAGCACUUACAAACUUACACAUAUGCAAGUAUGUGACUACGGGAGGUAUUGGACCGGCUCACUAAAUAUAAAACUGCAUAGAAGCGCAUGAAGGAGAACCGCAAUAAGUUAUACAAGUAGAGAAGAACGUGCAAAAAGUAAUAGCAAAUGCAAAAAUAGUUGUAAGAACAACAAAUGGUGUAAUAGUGGAUAUAAUACCAAUAAAUAAUGCAUAAAAGCAAAGGCAAGGUUGCAAACUGGUAUUGGAGUAAUGUGAAACCGUCGCGCUGUGGGAGGAGCUGGUGUGGUAUAACAGCAACAAGACCAAAUCGCUGUUGUUGUUAUUGUGCUUGUACUUGCACCUAGUUAUUUUUUUGCUGCUUGUAUAUUUGAGAUCAAGAUCAAGGUUUUUUCCCUCAGCCUCAUGCAAUACCUUGCGUCUUAUGUGCUUGGCUUGUACAGUUUGUGUGUGUUUUUUUGCAGUCGCUUAACGACAACCAGUUGUUCGCGUUAGUACAAAGCAAUGCAAAGCAAUAUCGAAAAAAAACUUCUAAACAGUGCAAGUAGCUGCAGACAACGGCAAAAUUAUAGCUGUUCAGAAAUACUUAUGUACGUCGUUUGGCCCAGCUGGGAUGUGAGAAACAAUUCCGUUCGAAGGCAAGGAUACUCUUACAUACAUACAAACGUGGUGGAUACAUGCAUAAAUUCGAUAAGGGGCCCAAGCGAUCGUUAGCAAAGCAAAUGCUGCAACUUUAGGAGACAAAUAUAAGCAAAGUGCGCAGGGAACAAGACUGCACGAAAGAUGUUUCCUUCCCGACAAGUUUACGAAAAAAUCAAAGCCAAAGUCAGAGUCAAUGGCAGAACGAAAAGUUGAGAGUCGUUUGGCGUCGUGAUCACGCAAUGCUUUGGCGAAGCUAUUUUCGUACAAAACAUACUACCUAUGUACAAACAUACAUACCAAUAUGUAUAUAGGUAUGCGAAGCAUUCGAACCAGCCUACCAAAGUUUUUGAAAAACCACGUUAAAAUGUGUGUAUGCGCCAAGAAUAAAAAACGAACGCUGUUGGUUGGAAGCGAAAGGGGCAGCAGAUGAAACAUAAAUAAAGCGCAUAAGAACCACACCAUUUAAGCCAGCUGAGUUGAGGUGUUGGAACUUGACUGCACUUGAGUUGUUUGAAAAUUAAUUAUAUAGUAAAUGGCACGCAAAGUGUUAUAAUUUGUUAUAAAGGAAGAUGCAUCUACUGCGUUCGAAAUACUGACGAAAUUUUCAAAGAAAUGCGAUUUUUUGUUGAAAAAAAUUUAAAAACUUGUUACCAUAUAAAUUAUGGCAUAUUAAAUAUGGCCAUAAAUAAAAACAUUGUUGGUUGCAGCAUUUUAAUUUGACAUAUCCGCGCUUUGGCAGCAAUCUAACAGGGGCUGUACGUUGACUGGCGGCUUGUUGGGUGCUGUGAUAGGUUAUAUUAAAUUUGGCACGAAGGAAACGUUGGAGACUCAAUAAAAAAUAUAUAUAAUGAUCAGCUUGAGGAGCCGAGUCGAGUUUGCCUUGUACUACUGGCUGUCUGCAUAUACGCCAACUAGUCCCUCAGUUUUUGACUUAUUGAUCUGGAUUUAUGCACAUGCCUUUUUCUCUUCAAGGAAUUACGCAUUUGACAGAAUCGCCAAUAUCGGACCCCUGUAACCUAUAGCUGCCAAAUGAACUAACCGCUCAAAAUAAAGUUCUUGUAUGGAAAACUAUUUUAUUUGACAUGAUCAGAUUCAAGAAAUUUUUUAUGGAUUAUCAUCAUAGGUAACGGUAUAAACUUUGAAAAACUAUAGCAUAUACAUAUCUAUCAUAUAAACCAACCAACUAAAAUCGAGUUCUUGUAUGGAAACCUGUCCGAUUUGUGCAGGGUAUUUAGCUUCCUUGCAAAGUUAACGUUUCUUUCCUGUGUUUAGUAUAGAAGCAAAAAUGUGCACGUCAGAGCAUUGCUCUUUUAGCUUCGUGACGUUAAGUAAUUCAAAUUGAAUUGUAAAUGUCAAUAUAUUUACAAACGUAUAUAAAUUAAUAAUAAA